UACGUAGGGGGCUAGCGUUGUCCGGAAUCAUUGGGCGUAAAGCGCGUGUAGGCGGUCCGGUAAGUCCGCUGUGAAAGUCGAGGGCUCAACCCUCGAAUGCCGGUGGAUACUGUCGGGCUUGAGUACGGGAGAGGCGAGUGGAAUUCCUGGUGUAGCGGUGAAAUGCGCAGAUAUCAGGAGGAACACCGAUUGCGAAGGCAGCUCGCUAGAACGUUACUGACGCUGAGACGCGAAAGCGUGGGGAGCAAACAGG
rnacentral:rRNA from 1 species